UACGUAGGGGGCAAGCGUUGUCCGGAAUCAUUGGGCGUAAAGAGCGUGUAGGCGGCUUGGUAAGUCCGCUGUGAAAGUCCAGGGCUCAACCCUGGAAUGCCGGUGGAAACUGUCAAGCUUGAGUCCGGAAGAGGCGAGUGGAAUUCCUGGUGGUAGCGGUGAAAUGCGCAGAUAUCAGGAGGAACACCAUGGCGAAGGCAGCUCGCUGGGACGGUACUGACGCUGGAGACGCGAAAGCGUGGGGAGCAAACAGG
rnacentral:rRNA from 1 species